rnacentral:misc_RNA from 1 species
AUCGACUGAUAAAGACUCCACGACCGGACCAACCACUCCCUCGCUUCUGCUCUCCAGUCUCGAGCCUUUGCAAUUAAGCGAGUGAGUCGGGCCUUCGUUCUGAGAAAGGAGAGAGAGCGACCAGAGGAGACCUAAGACCCACCUCAGAAGCCACCAAUGGGGUUCUUCUCUUUCGUCGGCAGGGUCCUCUUCGCUUGGCAAAUGUUCAAUGAAUUUGGAGAGGAUGGCGGCCCUGCCACAAAGGAGUUAAUACCCAAGCUUGCUACUUUCAACAAACACCUUUCCUAAUUGGGAGUAGUGUUGUCAGAUAUUGAUCCUAGAAAUCUUGUUGCGAGCAUUAUCGUACUAUAAGGUCCUGGAGGUUUUCUCUUUAUAUUUGGCACCCCAUUUGGUGCUUAUCUCCUGGUUAGGAUUUCCUUUCUUUUGGCACUUAAUUUGAUUUACCCUUAGAAUGUUAAGAAGUUAACCCUAACUUUCACCUACCAGCUACUUUGGAUUCAUAUAGCCAUUAUUGAAGUAAUAUUAUUUAGUGCUUUUGCUUCUCCACUUGGCGGUUACCCCUCCGCUCAUAUAAGACUUCUACAGUUAUGGUCCAGAUGAGGAUGAGUACUUGAUUCUCUUGAGCGAAUUCUUGCAGGUUUGUUUUGAAGUUGUGCCUGUGGGAGUUGUUUAGUUUAAUUUUUUUUGUUCCAUUUUUUUGGGGGCAUUUGCACACGGAAAUCUCGUAAUUUGUUUUUAUGAUCUUUUGGCAGAGUGUUGCACUUUUUGGUGCAUUGCUUUUCUUCAUAGGGAUGAAAAACUUGAUUCCAAGGAGACAAAUCAAGAAGAAUUCCCCUAAGGCAAAAGUGGGUUAAAGUGUGUGAAGAAGCAAAUUAGAGAAUGCAUUAUUCUUGCAGGUGCUGAAAUUUUCUGGGUGUCAACUAGCUGGACAUAUGAUAUUUAUUGAUAUCUUUCAAGCAAUUUAUGUAACAAGCCAAAUUUGUAGUUCUUCUUGAUUGGGGUGGUUAGACUGAUGGUCCCUAUAUUAUCAUAUCACAGCCUGAACGGGCACAGUAUACGUUUCAUUCUGUUUAAUAGAAUCCGUUUGAGCUAGAAUUUUAUGAUUUCAUAAUAUUUGUGGAUAUUCUUGUUUGACUCCUCAGUCCUUAGUGUUACGGAGCUAUGUAAUGGAUCAUGGAUUAUAAAA